GUUGCUACAGAAAUAAAGAUGCGGUACAAGGAACGAGAAGUGGUCGGCCGAAAGAUGACUCCAAGCUCUCCGAGAGAAGAGAAUAUAUUGAACGAACAAGACGAACCAACUAAAGAUCCCGGUGAGAAGACAGAAUAUUGAAUUGAAGCACGUCUCCGGAAAAAAGGCAAAGGGAAAGAAACAAGACCAAUCGGCGUCUUGAUUUCUCCUUGGAAUUACCUGCUUGAAUUAUGAAAAUUGCUUCUGCAAUAUGUAUAAUCAACUGAGAUAUAUGCAUUGGUAUUAUUUGAAAAAUGAAAUUCGCUAUGCCAACCUUUAAAAUUGCUGACAAAAUACAACGUGGUAUAAGUAAUCUGCAUAUGUUAAGGUAAUGCAUUUUUCGUGUUUGAAUGCAGAUACAUGCAUUCUCCAACAUAUUAGCCAUAAGAUUCAAGCCCCCAAGUAUAUUGGAAUUUUCAGGCUCAUUUACCUGAAUUGAAUUAAUGACGAGGUGGCACAAUUGGCGCAGGUUCAAAUAUAUGAUGCUUUAAUGCGCGUAUAUCGGAGACAAUUGCGUGUAUUGUCAUUAAAUUCAUUCAUGUUUUUAAAUUUAAGGAUUUUAAUCAAUGUUUAGGUGUGUGCCACCAAUUACACAAUCAUAUUAUUCAUAGCGUUGGUGUAACAAAAUCAAUGUCAUUUCUGGAAUUGAUCUGUGCAUUUCUGUUUAACUAAGACCCUACUCUACUUGCCUCCUCUUGCAUUGUUAGCCCCUGCCUGCAACAUUGCAUUUAUUUGCAUUAUGUGUUACUGCCUUGCGGUCCACUAUUCGGAAGCGCCUAAACGCUGCCAUCCGUGUUUUACAUCAUGUUAUGUUUUACGAUCUCUUAAAAGAAACAGACAGCGACUAAGCAGUCAACCGUGGUAUGGGAAAUGGCUGAGCAGA